rnacentral:pre_miRNA from 17 species
UGCUACAUUGACUGUCUGGCUACCCUGGCUCAGUUAUCACAGUGCUGAUGCUGUUCAUUCUCAAGGUACAGUACUGUGAUAACUGAAGGAUGGCAGCCACCUAGACAUCGAGGCCUU